UACGUAGGGUGCAAGCGUUAAUCGGAAUUACUGGGCGUAAAGCGUGCGCAGGCGGUUGUGCAAGACAGAUGUGAAAUCCCCGGGCUUAACCUGGGAACUGCGUUUGAAACUGGAAGGCUUGAGUGUGGCAGAGGGGGGUGGAAUUCCGACGUGUAGCAGUGGAAAUGCGUAGAGAUGUGGAGGAACACCGAUGGCGAAGGCAGCCCCCCUGGGCUAACACUGACGCCUCAUGCACGAAAGCGUGGGGAGCAAACAGG
rnacentral:rRNA from 1 species